rnacentral:rRNA from 1 species
AGGGCUUGACAUACUGAGGACCGGUAUAGAGAUAUACCCUCUUCUUCGGAAGCCUCAAUACAGGUGGUGCAUGGUU